UACGAAGGGGGCUAGCGUUGCUCGGAAUCACUGGGCGUAAAGCGCACGUAGGCGGCUUUUUAAGUCAGUGGUGAAAUCCUGGAGCUCAACUCCAGAACUGCCUUUGAUACUGAGAAGCUUGAGUCCGGGAGAGGUGAGUGGAACUGCGAGUGUAUAGGUGAAAUUCGUAGAUAUUCGCAAGAACACCAGUGGCGAAGGCGGCUCACUGGCCCGGUACUGACGCUGAGGUGCGAAAGCGUGGGGAGCAAACAGG
rnacentral:rRNA from 1 species